UUUCGCAAUGCCCGAAAGGGUGACGAAGCGACGCCGCGUGGGUGAGGAAGGCCUUCGGGUUGUAAAGCCCUGUCAGGAGUUAUGAAAUGUAAGUGCGCUAAUAUCGUGCUUAUUUGACAAAGGCUCCAAAGGAAGCCACGGCUAACUCUGUGCCAGCAGCCGCGGUAAUACAGAGGUGGCGAGCGUUGUUCGGAAUUAUUGGGCGUAAAGAGCACGUAGGUGGGUUUGCAAGUCAGAUGUGAAAGCCUUCUGUUCAACGGAAGAAUCGCAUCUGAAACUGCUAAUCUUGAGUAUAGGAGGGGAGAAUGGAACUUCUGGUGGAGCGGUGAAAUGCGUAGAUAUCAGAAGGAACGCCGGCGGCGAAAGCGAUUCUCUGGCCUAUUACUGACACUCAGUGUGCGAAAGCUAGGGGAGCAAACGGGAUUAGAUACCCCGGUAGUCCUAGCCGUAAACGAUGGGCACUAAGUAGAGGGGUUUU
rnacentral:rRNA from 1 species